rnacentral:misc_RNA from 1 species
UGAAAUGCAGUGUUCCCACAACC